UGGUUUAGCUUUUAAGUCUUUAAACAUCUUGAAUAAUUUUUUAUAAGAUUGGGGUCAAAUUCUCAUUUUGUAUUUUCAUUUUGGGUAGAUAAUUAACAAACUAUCAUUCAUUGAAAAUACUUUUAUAUUGAAAUUCACUGUGACUUUGUUUGAAACGAGGUGAAUAUAUGUGUAGGUCUCUGUUACAUUCUGUUGGUCUAUUUUUCUAACCCAUAAUAAUAGACACUAUCUAAAUUAUGGUAAUUUCAUAAUAGAUCAUGAAAUCUGUUGAUGCAGGUCUUUUGAUUUUACUUUUCUUCUCCAAUGUUGCCUUGGCUUUUCUAGUUCUUUUGCACUUCCACAUGAAUUUAAGAUUCAGAUUAUACACAUAUAUACACUGACUUUCAGAUGUCUGAUGCUCUUAUGUCAUUUCAGGAAAGAACACCAGGAAAAAUGUAAACAUAUUUUACAUAAAAUACCAUAAAACCCUCUAGAUUUCUGUUGCCUUAUUAUUUCAGCAGGCUUUCUUAACUUUCUUUUUUCCUUUCUAACUUUUAUUUUGGGUUCAAGCAGUACCUGUGCAGGUUUGUUACAUGGGUAAAUUGUGUGUCGUAGGGGUUUGAUGUACAGAUAAUUUUGUCAGCCAGGUAACUGGCAUAAUGCUGGAGAAGUGGUUUCAAUCCUCACUCCCCUCCCUCCCUCCACCCUCAAGCAGGCUCCAGUGUUAUUGUUCCCUUAUUUGUGUCCAUGUGUAGUCAAUGUCUUAACUUGUUUAGUAGCUGAACAAGUUAGUUGCACUUAGACUUGCAAAACGAACUAUAUGCCUAUUUUUUCCAUUUAAAAAUAGAAACUGAGGCAGAGAGGCAGGUUUUUCAAAUCAACUUUAAUUAAUCUGUUUUCUCUAUGUGUGAUGUUUCAUUCAUAUGUCAGUAAGUUUCCAUGUAUAUACUUUCUUGAUGUGAAAUAUUAGGCUGGUGCGUAUGUUUUUGAUAAUAAAUUUUAUAAUAUCCUCUAAGAUCUUUUAGAUCUAAGUCUCCUCAAAGUUGGCUUAUAUUUCUAAAAUAAGUGAUACAUUUUGUACAUUCUUGUACAAAAGUUAGCCAAUAGCACAUUUCACUUUUCUAGUAUCAGAAUGCUCCAGUACUACAGUUUGCAUUUAGGCAAUGAGGAUUUGUAAACAUUCUGAAUUAAGACCCUUCAAAAAAACUGUUUCACAAUCUUAGAGUAAAAAUAUUAUCAUAUGACUUAAACUUUUCCAGUUAUUUACACAGAAAGUUGUGAUAGUUUGUGGGAUCCCAAAUAUAUCAAAGAACUUUUCUUUAUUAUUUUGCCCUGUGAUUCCAUAGUUAAAGCUGCCCACUCACCCUAAGAUUUCCUAAGUAAGAGGAAGCACUCAAGAAUUUAUUCCCUAAACAAGAUGGUCUAUUAAAGAGUACUAUAAUCUCCACGACUAGACAUAAAAUAAGGGUUACUCAAUUUAAAAUGUAAUAUAUUCAUGCAGAUUCUAAUAACAUUGGAAGAAGAAAAAGUUUAAAAUAAGUAUGAACACAAAUCACUAUCUUGAAUGCAUCAUUAUUAUUGAGUCUGUAUGAAGGGACAGAAGGCAUAGCUAUUUUGGGGGGGAGCUAUCACAAGAUUAGUUUUUAAGAGAAUGGUAACAGAUCCAUGUGAAUAUGUUUAGGAGGCAUUUAAAUAUAGAAAUGAAGCUUAGAAUGUGAUAAAAAUGAAGAUGUACAUCAGGUAAUUAUCCCCUAAAACAAUUUUUAACUAUCUUUUUUUUAUUUUUUAGAUCUUAAUCUGUUUCCUGUCUUAAAUAUUCUAACUAUGGAUGAAGAAAAUGUAUUUGAAUGCUAUAGGUUCUAGACUGAAACAAAUCAUGUAGACUAAGGAUCUAAAACUACUGUUUGAGGGCAUAUGUGAGAAGAUCUAAAUAGGCAACUCAGUUUGCCAAGAAAGAAAAUGUGCAGAGAUAAAUAAAGGAAACAAACUUGCAGGGAGAGUAAGAACAAGCAGGCAACUUUGCUUUCUGCAUGUUCCCAUCUUCCAGUCCGAAAUUUCUGUGAGACCUAGUUAUGAUUAUUUGGGAGGGAAAUGUCUUAAUUACCAUUAAUUCUCCCAGCAAGAGAUGUCCCACUAAACAAAGUUUGCUAACUUAUAUUAUCACAUGCUUAAUUAUUUUAAAAUUGAAACUCACAGAUAAUUGAAACUGGAUGACAACAUUUGGGGAAAAAUACUUAAUGUAGAUGAUGUUUCUUGGAGUUUAUUCUCACACACUAGUCCUGAAAGUUACCUGUCCCCUUAAAAAUUGGGUAUACUGCAUAAAUUAAUUAUGAGAUAUCUCGUACUCUAUGUCACUCCUUGAGACAAAAGGUACCAAAGCACACAUGAUAGGGAGCCACCAGUUUGGAAAACCACGUGUGCUUUCAGUUGUCUCCCCUUUUUCUUUCUUUUCUGCUGUUUAUCACUUAGGUGUAGUGAAGUUUGACCACCUGACAAACUAGAAGACUUGCUGAAAGAGUUCUUAGGAAAAUGUUCUGAUGCUUAUUGGGACUUUAUGCAAAUGGAAUAAAAGCAGGAAUGAUCUCACACCAUGAGUUUUGCUCAAAGUUGAAGACUGGUGCCUAAACUAAAACUGCUAGGACACAUACUCUGUUUUUUUCUUGUCCUAUGGAAACCUUUCUAGUAUGGCUGAUGGUUUUCAGUCAUUUUCAUUAUUUAGAUGUCAUGUACAUCAUAUGAUUUUCUAGAUGACAGUAAUAUAAUUUAAAAAACAUAAAGACUUUCCUUCUUUCCUUAUCUUGAUAGUACACAAAUUCAUGAAUGUAAAUAUUUUAAUGAAGAAAAUGGAGUUAAAUAAAAUGGUUUACUAACUAGAAGAUAUCUCUUAGUAGAAUCAAUUAUAAAAUAUAACAACAUUUUAUGAAAAAGAAAACAUGUACAACUUUGGUAAACAACACAAGCUAAUUUUUACUUUUAAAAUACUUUUAAAAUUAUGAUCAACAGCUAGCAAUAUGAAACUGAUAUCUACCAGGAACAUUCCUAGGUAUUUGUGAUUACUUUAAACAAAAAAAUUCAAAAAAAUAAUUAUUACAUUCAAAGUUGAUAACCUAGAGAGAAUGCUUGUAAAAGUUAAGAAACUUUAGAAAUAGGCAGUUAUAAAUAGCUCAAUUUCCCGUACUUGGGUCUAAGGUAAAAUCAUCACUUUUCUCAAUGUUUCCACAAAAACAGUUGAAUUGUUAUAUUAUCUUAAUAGUUUGUAAAUAGACCUCAAAUUACCCCUUUUUAUAGUGCUACAUUUUAUCCUACAAAAGAGUAGUUACGUAGAAGAAUGACAAUAAAUGAUGAUGAAGACACACCAAAUGUGAAGCAUACAGGCACACCUCAUUUUAUUAUGCAUCAGUGUAUUGCACUUUGUAGAUAUUACAUCAUUUAGAAAUUGAAGGUCUGCGGCAACCCCGUGUUGAACAACUAUAUUGGUGUCAUUUUUUUUUCAAUGGCAUGUGCCCAUUUUUUGUCUCUGUGUCACAUUUUGGUAAUUUGUGCAAUAUUUCACACAUUUUUAUUAUUAAUAUAUUGGUUAUGGUGAUCUGUGAUCAAUAAUGUUUGAUAUUACUAUUGUAAUUGUUCUGAGGCGUCAUGAAUUGCCUCCACAUAAGAUGGCAAACUUAAUCGAUAAAUGUUGUGUAUUGUUAUUGCUUCAAUGACUGGCCAUUUCUCUGUCUUUCCCCUUUUUCUUGGGCCUUCCUAUUCCCAGAGAUACAACACUAUUAAAAUUAGGCAAAUUAGUAAUCUUAGAAUGGCCAAUAAAUAUUCAAAUAAAAUGAAGAGUUGUACAUGUAUUACUUUAAUCAAAAGCUAGACAUGAUUAAACCUGGUGAGGAAGGCAUGCCUAAAGCCAAUAUAGGUGAAAAGCUAUGCCUCUUGUGCCAAACCAUUAGCCAAGUUGUGAAUGAAAAGAAAAAGUUCUAGUAAAACAUUAAAAGUACUUAUUAAUUAGUUCAGCCAUUGUGGAAAGCAGUGUGGCGGUUCCUCAAAGAUCUCAGAAAAAAAUUAACAUUUGACCCAGCAAUCCCAUUAUUAGGUAUGUACCCAAAGGAAUAUAAAUCAUUCUACCAUAAAGACACAUGCACACAUAUGUUCACUUCAGCACAAUUCACAAUAGCAAAGACAUGGAAUCAACCUAAAUGUCCAUCAGUGGUACACUGGAUAAAGAAAACAUAGUACAUAUACACCAAGGAAUACUAUACUGCCAUAUAAAAGAAUGAGACCAUGUCCUUUGCAGCAACAUGGGUGGAACUGGAGGCCAUUAUCCUAAGCAAACUAACACAAGAACAAAAGACCAAAUACUACAUGUUCUCACUUAUAAGUGGGUGCUAACCAACAAGAACACAUGGAUACUAGAAGGAGAACCACAGACACUGGGGCCUACUUGAGAGUGAAGGAUAGGAGGUGGGAAGGCAUCAAGAAAAUACUUAUUGAGUACUAUGCUUAUUACCUGGGUAACAAAAUUGUAUGUGCACCAAACCCUCAUGAAACACAAUUUACUUACAUGGCAAACCUGCACACAUAUCCUGGAACCUAAAAUAAAAGUUAAAACAAGAAAAAUAAAAAAACUCCUGAAGCUUAAAAAUAUAUGUGUGUGUGUGUGUGUGUGUGUGUGCGUGUGUAUGUCUCCAGUGAGUACACAAAUGAUAAGAAAGUGAAACAGCCUUUUUGCUGACAUGGGGAAAGUUUUAGUGGUCUGAAUAGAAAAUCAAACCAUCCACAACAUUCCCUUAAACUAAAGUCUAAUGUGGAGCAAAAACUUAACUUUUGUUUUAAUCCUCUGAAGGCUGAGAGGGGUGAGGAAGCUACAAAAGACAAGUUGAAGCCUAGCAAGUUUGUUUUAUGAGGUAAGGGAAUAAGCCAUUUCCAUAACAAAGAAUGCAGGUGAAGCAAUAGGUGCUGAUGGAAAAGUUGCAGCAAGUUAUCCAAAAGAUGUUGCUAAGAUAAUUGAUGAAGGUGGCUCCAUUAAAUAUUAGAUUUUUACUGUACAUAAAACAGCCUCAUAUUGGAAGAAGUUGCCAUCUGGGACUUUUAUAGCUAGAGUGGAAAAGUCAAAGUCUGGGUUCAAAAUUCAAAGGUAAGGCUGAUUUUUUUUGUUAGAGGCUGAUGCAACUGCUGACUUUAAAUUGAAGUGAAUACUGAUUUAUCAUUCUGAAAACCCCAGAACCCUUAAAAAUUGUGCUAAAUCUACUCUGCCUGUGCAUUAUAAAUGGAACAACGAAACCCAGAUCACAGCACAUCUGUUUAUAGCAUGGUUUACUAAAUAUGUUAACUCCAUUGUUGAAACAUACUAAUAAAAAAAAGAAAAAAAAGAUUUUUUUUCCAAAUAUUAAUGCUCUUUGAAAAUGCACCUGGUCACCUAAGAGCUCUGAUGGAAAUGUACCAGUAGAUUAAUGUUGCUUUCAUGCCUGCUAACAGUGAAUCAAGGAAUAAUUUAGACUUUCAAGUUUUAUUAUUUAUAAGAUGCAUUUCAGAAGACUGUAUGUUCCACAGAGAGUAAUUUCUCUGAUGAAUAUGGGAAAACUAAAUUUAAAAUCUAUUGGAAAGGAUUCACCAUUCUAGAUGCCUUAAGAACAUUGGUGAUUUGUGGGAGAAAGUCAAAAUAUCAACUACAAUAGGAGUUUGGAAGAAGUUGAUUCCAAUCCAUGUGGAUAAUUUUAAAGGGUUCAAGUUUCCAGCAAAGGGAGUAACUUAAGAUGUGGUAGAAAUAUUCAAACAACUGGAAUUUGAAGUGGAGCCUGAAGAUGUAAUUGAAUUGCUGCAAUCUCAUGAUAAAACUUUAAUGGGUGAGGGGUUGCUUCUUAUGAAUGAGGGGGAAAAGUGGUUUCUCAAAAUGGAAACUAUUCCUGGUGAAGCUGUUAUGAGAAUUGUUGGAAUUAACAACAAAAGAUGUAGAAUAUUACAUAAACUUAAUUGAUAAAGCUACAACAAGGUUUGAGAGGAUUGACUCCAAUUUUGAAAGAAGUUUUACUAUGGGUAAAAUGCUGUCAAACAGCAUCAUAUGCUACGGAGAAAUCUUUCAUGAAAGAAAGAGCUAAUUGAUGUGGCAAACUUCAUUUCUGUCCGUUUUUAAGAAAUUGCCACAGUCACCCCAACCUUCAGCGACCACUGCGUUGAUCAGUCAGCAGCCAUCAAAACUGAGAAAGACACUCUACCAGCAAAAAGAUCACGAAUAGCUGAAGGCUCAGAUGAUUGACUUUUUAGCAAUGAAGUAUUUUUUAAAUUAAGAAAUUGUGCUGGAAGACUUCUGGGAAAAGUUCCUUUGCUCCAAUUAGGAGACACUGAAGAUAAAGGAAAUGGCCUCUAUCCUUCUUCUGGUGCCCUUAACGUUAAUUCCUGGAACUCCUACAACCAUCUCAUAACAAUCAUGGAGGAAGGCAAACCCUAGAGAUUCACAGAAAACCAGAACUGAAUCUCUAAUUCACUUGGCUUGAGGUCUGCCUUAUCUCUAGUCUAUUUGAAGUGAAAUAAUCAAUCCCUUUAUUUUUAAAGGCAAUUUGAUUUGUUUGGCAUUGCUUUCUUAUAUUAGAAUGUAGUGUGAGCAUUGUAUAUAACUAUAGUAAGAGGCGUUUCUAUAUAGGUGCAAUAGAAUUUAUCUUAAAAUGUUACUUUUAAGUCAAUUGUUACAUUUUAUAAUUUAAAAAUAACAAAAAAACCUAUUUCCACGAAAUACCGUUUUACCUCAAUUCCUGUGCUUGAGCCUGUUGUUUUCAUUGUAGUUGGCUGCAUAAAAUCUAAUAGCUGUGAGAAAGCAGCUUUCAGAGAAGCUCAGUAACAUUGCCAGAUAAUUUAUUUCGGAAAAUAAUGUGCAAAGUAACUACUUCUUUCUUUCUUUUUGUUCCUUUUUGAGGUAAACACUUUAAAGGUGUUCCCAUUUCAUAAUCACAGCAUUAAAGAUUUUGUUGGUGGAAGUCUUUGUGAGGAUUUUCAAUUUUACAGCAGCUUAUAAGUGAUUGGCAAUGAGUUGUGCAGAGCCCUACAACUUUGAGGAUAUACAGCACUCCACUUGGCAGAGAUAGAUGCUAUGCUUCAAAAAAAUUUCCUGUGUUAAAAAUGCAAAUUAGCAUAAUAUUUUUCUGACUUCAAAUUAAUUUAACAAGUUGUUGAAUAUUCAAAGAUAAAAUGUAGAACACAGUUUGCUUUAUAAAAAGCACAAAAUUCACCUAAAUUAUGGUUCUCUAUAUGCCACCUAACUUGUUUCAUAUUUGUAUAACUCAUGGUUGUUGGUGAGGUUUGAAUUAGUGUUUUAUAUCCACACUCACAUCAGCUUACUAUGGAGGAGUAAAAUAUGAACAAUUUGGGCACACUUGAAGCUUCUGGAGAAGUAAGUUAUAGUCCUUUGUGAAAAGAAACUUGGGGCUCACGCCUGUAAUUCCAACACUUUGGGAAGCCAAGGCUGGCUGAUCUCUUGAGCCAGGAGUUCGAGACCAGUCUGGGCAACAUAGUGGAACUCCAUCUGUACGAAACAAUAGAAAAAUUAGCCAGGCAUGGUGGCAUGUCCCUGUAGUCCCAGCUACUCAGGAGGCUGAGGUGGGAGGACCACCUGAGCUCAGGGAGGUCAAGGCUGCAGUGAGCCAUGAUUACACCACUGCACCCUUGUCUGGGAGACAGAGUGAAAGCCUGUGCCAUAAACCAGGGAAAGCCUGCCUGUCGUUUACCCUAUGCUGUAAAAUUGUAUAAUUAAAAAUAAAAAAGAAAAGAAAAGAAAAAAAGAAGUUUGUUCCAAUUUAAUGGAAAAUUGGUUUUCAAGGACAGGACAGAAAUUCUGGGAAAAGACACCUUGAAAGUAAUUAAGAUUAAUUAUAAGCAGGCUAGGGAAAUUCCAGACUAAAGAAUGUGCCAUUUAUUGAUGGCAAACUAUAGACGAGUUCUGUCACUGAUCAUAGCCAUGAAGUCUCAAUGCCAGCUUCAUGGGAGGAGUCCCACACAGGGCUCCCCAGUCAGAAGGGCUUGUGUUUGGCUUAAUAAUGCUCCAUUGUUGCCAUCUCGAAAUUUUUAAUACUUUUUGAACAUGGGGCCCUACAUUUUUAUUUUGCAAUAGGCCCUUAAAAUUUUGUAACUAGCCCUGCCUCGCUAUAUGUUAAGACUUAAAAUGUAAAAAUCAGGCAAUAAAAUCAAAAGUUGUGUUGAGAAAGGAUUAUUGUGUUUAAUAUUGUGUAUUAACUAAAAUAGAAGUUAGUCUAUGUUUAUAUUAUUAUCUACAAAAUGAAAUUUUAAAAAAACACACAUUCUAUGUUCUUGGAUGCCAUCUUGAUGAAGAGGAGUAAAAUGUUUACGAAAGAUGUUCUGAUUUUUUCCUUUUGCAAAUAUUUAUGGUAAAAACUUUACUUUAGCCAGGCACAGUGGCUCAUGCCUGUAAUCCCAGCACUUUGGGAGGCCAAGGUGGGUGGAUCACGAGGUCAAGAAAUCGAAACCAUCCUGGCCAACAUGGUGAAACCCCGUCUUUACUAAAAAUACAAAAAUUAGCUAGGCGUGGCGGUACAUGCCUGUAGUCCCAGCUACUCAGUAGGCUGAGGCAGGAGAAUCACUUGAAUCUGGGAGACGGAAGUUGCAGUGAGCUGAGAUCGUGCCACUGCACUCCAGCCUGGCGACAGAGCAAGACUCUGUCAAAAAAUAAUAAUAAUAAUAAAAUAAAAAAUAAAAAAAAACACUUUACUUUAAAUUUUAAUAUAGAUACUGUCUCUUCUGAAGUAAGAAUUUUUACAGUAGGGAAGGCAGUAAUCAGCAAAUCAGUAAACAAGCAAACAAAAAACACCAAAGAAGUACAUACCAUAAAAAUUGUGUUGAUUAAAUAAUUAUUAAAUGUCUUCUGCAUUUGCCUAUGUCCUAACAAAAUACACAGAUUGGGUGGCUUAAACAAACAAACAAACAAGCAAAAAGAUAUUUUCACAGUCUGGAGGCUAGAAGUCCAAGAUCAAGACGUCAGCCAAUUUGGUUUCUCCAGAGGCCUCUCUCUUUGGCUUUCAGGUGGCUGCCUUCUUACUGCAUCCUCAUGUGUUCUUUCCUCUGAGCAAGAGCACUCCUGGUGGCUUGCUCUCUGUGUACAGAUGUCCUCUUCUUAUAAGGACACUGAUCUAGAUUGGAUUGGGGCCCACCAUAAUGACCUUGUUAAUUUAAUCAUCUCUUUAAAGGUCCUAUCUCCAAACACAAUCAACAUUAUAAGGUACUAGGGAUUUUGGCUUUCACAUAUGAAUAUCGGUAGGACACAAUUCUGCCCAUAACUACUUCUAUGUGGCACACAUUUCCCUAUGCUCUAGAAUUGGAAAGAGGAUAAUAGUGGAAAUAGAUCUAUAAAGUCAUAAUGACCAUAAAUGCUCUAUGAAGUAGAACAUACAAUAGACAAAAUAUUUUUGUUCCUUUGAGGGAUCUAAAUAACACAUAAAAUUAAAUACAUAAAAUUAAUAUUUAUCCUGACCAUGGAUAAAUACAUAAAAUUAGUAUUUAUUCUGAUGAUGGAUAAAUACUAAUACACUGAAAAGAAAAAGCAUUCCAUGUAUUAGAAUUACAGGAGAAAUAAAGUGUAAAAGUCCGCUUUUAAAAUGAAUAAUAGUGGACUCUCUCUGAAUAUAGUGCCCUGAAGGGAAAAGCAGGUAACAAAUAAAAUGUAGGCUAGAAACAUAAUUUAUUCAGAAUUUACCCUGAAAUGGGAGAGUCCAUGCUAAAGAAAUAAGAAGAAGACUGUGUAAUUAUAUAAUCCUAAUUUCAAAAUGGAACUAUGUUAAUUGAGUAAAAUUGUACAAAUAUUUUAAUAUGUGUGAGUGAUAUGGUUAGGCUUUGUAUCCCCACCCAAAUCUCAUCUUGAAUUGUAAUCCCUAUUAUCCCUAUAAUCCUCAUGUGUCAAGGGAGAGACAGGUGGAGGUCAUUGAAUCAUGGGGGUGUUUUUCCCUAUGCUGUUCUCAUAAUAGUGAGUGAUUUCUCACGAGAUCUGAUGAUUCUAUAAGGGGCUCUUCUCUCUUAGCUCGGCAUUUCUCUUUCCUGCCGCCUUGUGAAGAAGGUGCCUUCCUUCCCCUUCACCUUCUGCCAUGAUUGUAAGUUUCCUGAGGCCUCCCCAGCCAUGCAGAACUGUGAGUCAAUUAAACUUCUCUCUUUCAUAAAUUACCCAGACUCUGGUAGUUAUUUACAGCAGUAUGAAAAUGGACCAAUACAAUGAGCCAUCCUUUCCUUUCCUGAAUAAAUCAAAACAAUAAUAUUCUGAGAGAGGCACCACUCCUUUCAAAUAUCAAUUCUCUUAUCCUUCUGCAGUAGGUAUCUCGAUUUUUAUCUUGGCAAAUUGCUGCCCAAGUACAAGAACACUUUAUCUAGUUUCUACUGCAACUGUGUUUGGUCUAUGUUCAAGGUUUGGCCAUUCCCAGGUAAGUGAAAGUGUUUAGUGCAGUUUCCUGGAAAAGUUCUCAAAGGAGAGGCUGCACAUUUUACCUCUAUAUCCAACCUUAAAGUGUGAAGCAAAUAUGAUGGCUGAAGCUCCAGCAGUCAUCUUGGACCAUAAGAGUCAAGGACAUAUCUUAGGAACUGUAGACUGGAGAAUUGGAAGCAGCCUGGGUCACUGCAGUUUGUGGAGCCAAGUCAGUACACCAUAAUAUACCCAUACUUGCCUUUUCUACUUCUGGACUUCUGUUAGGAGGAAUUGACAAACCUUUAUCUGUGUUAAAUCUCUGCUAAUUGCAUUUUUGGAACUUCUGUUGUAUUGAAUCCAUUUUAUAUUUACAUUGUUGAUACAAGGGUAUGUUAAUGAAAAAUGGCUAACUUUUUUGUUUUCUGAUAAGCAAAGGUUUUUUAAGGUGAGAUAUUGGCACUAUAAUAAAGCAGUUAACAAAUAAUAACUUUAGGAAUUUGCAAAAAUAUAUCCAUGUGGGAUAAAAGGGGGCAAAGAGAUCUUUAGAAGGUCUCAGAGUCUAAGACAUGAGAAUAUAAAAAAACAUAUUUUAGGUGGAUCAGUCAGGCAGUGAAAUAUUGAGGCAAUGUGAUUCAUAUAAUGUAGAAAUAAAAUAAGAGAGCACAUUGUUAAGCAAGCAACCAUUAAAUACCAAGGCUGAGUGGAUAGAGAGGAAAUAUUCAGGUGGCAUUGGCAAGAACCUUAACUUCUCAGGAAGCAGGGACAAAGACCAAGUCAGGGUAACAGAAACAUCAAGACUGGCCACAUCCAUUUAAAAAUCAAAUUGUGUAAGUGGUUUAGAUAAGUUAGAGGAUUUUUAUACUUAAUAAAUGGUAAAUAUUUUUUCAUUACUCAGUAAGAAUACUCUGUUUUAUUUAGUAUAUGACAAAACUAAAACUCUGCAUUUGAUUAGAAACCUAAGCUAAAAUUUUGUUUUAUAUAUGUAUAUAUUUAUUUAGAUGCCUGUGUAAUUCAUUGCUGAUGUAUAACUUACUGGUUACCCUGGACACUGAAGUAUUCCUCAAGCAUCUCACAAAAUCAGUGACAAAAUUGGGAUCGUGACAGACAAUGAAAUUGCUGUGUAAACUAUGAAGUGCUAAAGCCAAUUAAAAUAUCUCUAUUACUAUCUUGUUUUCUGAAAUGCAGUUUCCUCAUUGUAACCAUUGACUAGCUCCAUUGGUUGGGUGUUUUUGAUUAUUUAAUGACUACAUGCCUAUUAAGGUGACAUGGAAUAUUAUGAGAUGUCAUGCAAAUGCUGAGUAUUUUGAAAUACUUGCUAGGAUUAUUAUUUCAUGCUUUAUGAUUAUGAUUUACUGUAGCACAAUAUGUAUUCAUGUUUUGUUUUUCUUUGAUGUAUCUUAUCAGGUCUAAAAAGGGAGAAUGUUCAUAGAUUAAUCUAUUCAUUGGUGAUGAUUUACAAAUUUUGUGGUAAAAUAUAGGCAUCAAUGGAAUACUACUACUAGUGUUUUAUUAAAAGAAAAGGUUUUAUCAACCAAGGGGAGUAAAAGGAUUUUUGCUAUCAUUUCCUGAAGGCAACUAUUGAUUAAUGUUUCUGUAUUUACAGAAAGCAGACGGACUCUUUAAAAACUUAUUUGCAAAACAAAUAUCAUAUUUACCUUGUGUCUGUACUUCAUAGGAAAAGGGGAGAUUCCUCCAAAAGGGCUCUACUAGCAAGAAACCUGGAAACUAAUGAAAUAGGAAAAAAAUCAAGACAUAAAAACAUCAAUAAACUUUAUUAGAUCGAAGCUUCUGUACAAAAUUCAUUAAAGAAAGUUUCAAAAGUAAUGAAAGACACAAAAAAAUUAGAUCAGUUGAAUUUCAUGAAAAUUAAGGAGUAUUGUGCUUUAGAAAACACCAAGAAGAAAGUAAAAGGACAACUAGCAAAUUUAGAUAAAAUAUUUGCAAAUCAUGUAUCUGAUAAGGGAAGUAUUUAUGUAGUAUACAAAAAAAACUAUACAAUUCAAUGCUAAAAAUACAAGUAGCUUAAUUUUUAAAAUGUAAAAAGGAUCUAAAACAUUUCUUCAAAGAAGAUACACAAAUGGCCAUCAAGCGCAUGAAAAGAUGCUCAAUGUCAGUAGCUUCAGGAAAUGCAAGUCAAAAUCGCUGUGAAAUACUACUUCGCCCUGACUAGAAGAAGGACUGUCAUCAAAAAGCCAAACAAUAAGUGUUGGAGAGCAGGCAGAAAAAUUAGAACUCUCAUGAACUGUUGGGAAUAUAAGAAGUGGAUAAGGUUAAAAUUCCAAGCUUUCAGUGAAAAUAUAAGCACAAGCAUAAUCUGUUAUAGUGAAAGUAUGAAGGAAUAUUCAAUUUUAAAUGACUGCUGUUGAAAAUAAUUAUAGCUAGUUGGAGACACAGAAAAUAUAUUUAAUAUCUCAUAUAUCAGAGGCCAAUAAUGGAUAUGAUAUAUAAAUAAUAUUCCCGCUAACGAUUCACAUCCUCCCAUGCGAUAAAAGCCAACAUAGAACCAGCUCAAAUUACUUUUUUUUUUUUUUUUUUUUUUUUUGGAGAUGGAGUCUCACUCCGUCACCAGGCUGGAGUGCAGUGGCUUGAUCUUGGCUCACUGCAGUCUCCACCUUCUGGGUUCACAUGAUUCCCCUGCCUCAGCCUCCUGAGUAGCUGGGACUACAGGCGCACACCACAACGCCCAGCUAAUUUUUUGUAUUUUAGCAGAGAUGGGGUUUCAAUAUGUUGUUCAGGAUGGUCUUGAUAUCCUGACCUCGUGAUCUGCCUGCCUCAGUCUCUCAAAGUGCUGGGAUUAAGGCUUGAGCCACUGCGCCCGGCCUCAGCUCAGAUUCCAAAAGAAAUUAGUAGGACAGAUAUAAGUAAACUUUAAGAAACUGUUGAUAGCAGGAAUUCUCACAUUUGAUGAGGUCCUGGAAUGGAGUGAUGAAAAGUUGAAGAAUAUGGUGGCAAAGAAAAUAGGACACUGCACAUCCAGUUUAUUAAACAGAUUUUUUAUUAAACUUUUUAGCCCUCAGUUUUCAAUAAAAGUUCAUUUGCAGAAAAGUUUUAUCUUUCUAAAACUGUCACUUCAGUGGCCAGCCUGGAAUGUUGGUAGAUUCAUAGUUUUACAGACCUAUCCAGUUUUGUUGUCUGGUUCUUGAUUAUAUGUCAAUGGUCAGAGCUAAAAAUGGAAUAAUAACUAAUGAAUCAUCUUGACAGGUAAAAAUACUAUACAGUGAUUUAUAAUGGUAUUUGCUUAUGACAAAUUUUUUCCAGAAUUGUCCCUAACUCAGUUGUUUUCAUUGUGUCAGGUUUCAUGAAGAAAAAUAAUAUUGCUUAGAAACAUUAAAUUUCUUUAUACUUAAUGUUGAUGCCAUCAAGUAGUUCUUUAUAAGACUGAACAUAACUAGAAUUUGAAUUACUUAUAACUCUUGCUUAAGUAGAAUAGUUUAAACAAAUCUUCAAAGAAAAGCCAAAUCACUUUUGGUUUAUUAAUAUGUCAAAGUGACUAAGAAAAAUGGAGCAUUUGAUGGUGAUAUAACUUUCGUAUCAUCAUUGAACUUUCAGUGCUGUUGACCUUAGCACAAUAUAGUACUAAAACAAAGAUGUCUUUCUUCACACUUCCCAGAUAUCAUUUGAAAUAAGUAAUGGGAUACACACAUGAGGUAAAUUAUUAAAAAAUUAUUUAUAUCAAUUAGAAACCUUCCAUUUUGGUAGACAAAAUGCAUCUUGAACUAAAGCCACAAAAAGGAGAAUGUAGUGGCGCAACAAAAUUUACCCAUGAAAAGAGAGAUGAACGUGAAGUCAGGUUCAAUCAGUUGAGAGAUUUGAAUAGAUGCAGAAUUUCUCCUUCAUUUCAUAUUUCUGUUGUUCUUUGUAUUUUAUCACCUUUUUGUCCUGGUAAAGAUAGGUAGUUGAGUCCUAGUCUAUGUAUGUAACAAUAACAGUUGGAAGUUCUGGAUUUGUAUCGAGCCAACUCAGAGACUAAAAGUAAAGAAGACUUCUCUUGACACCUUAAUACAUGAAAUUCCAGAAAUUGAGCGUGGUUAGCUUUGAGGAGAUUUUGCCACUCAGGCUCUAUCAAUCACUGUGGGUUAUAGUGUUUGUCCCAGACUAGAUUGCUUGUAAUUCAUAUGGAAAUACUACGGGCCCAGAAUAGUCAAAUCAAUGUUGAAAAGGAAAAUGGAUUUCAUCACUCACUACAAAACUACAGUAAUGAAUACAGUAAGGUACUGGCAUAAAGACAGACAUAUGAAUCAAUGGUGUACAAUUGAGAGUGAAAAAUAAGCUCUUGACUUUAUAGUUAGCUGAUUUUCAGCAAAAAUGCUAAGAAAAUUCAAUGGGAAAAAUAAUUUUUUUCAACAAAUUAUGCUGAGACAAUUGGUUUCUACAUUCAAAAAACAAAUUUGGAGUGGUUUCACAUCACAGAAAAAAAGUUAUCUGAAAGUGCAUGGCUGAUCUAAAUGUAAAAGCUAUGGUAAAACCUUUAGAAGUGAACAUUUAUAAGCUUAGGUUGUGCGGCAGGCAGAGGUUACAAUGAGCUGAAAUUGUGCCACUGCACUCCAGUCUGGGCAAAAAAGAGAGACUCCAUCUUGAAAAAAAUAUAUAUAUAUAAUCUUGGGUUAGGCAAUGAUUUCUUAGAUAUGAUACCAACGAAACAAGUGAUAAUAUAAAAAUAUUUCCAGAGUAUACAUCACAAGACUUAUAUCCAAAACAACAACAAAAAACUCUUACAACACAACAAUAAAAAGACAGAUAACUCAGUUAAAAAUGAGCAAAGAUCUGAAGAUACAUUUUUCUAAAGAAGAUACAUGUAUGACUAAUAAACACAUGAAAAAGAUGCUCAAUAUUAUUAGCCAUUAGGGAAAUGCAAGUCAAAGCCACAAGAUGUUCCUUCACACUGACAAUGGUGUCUACAAGAAAAAAGACAAAUAAUAUCGGGUGUUGGCAAGGAUGUAAAACAACCAACACCUUUAUACACUGUUGGUGAGAAUGUAAAAUGAUACAGCCACUUAUUAAAACAGUCUGUCAGUUUCUCAAAAUGCUAAAUGUUUACUUAUCAUAGAAUCCAGCAAUUUUACUCAUAAGUAUAAUAUAUUCACAAGAGAAAUAAAAAUAUAUGUCCACACAAAGAUUUACAUAUGAAUAUUCAUAGGGAUAUUAUUCACAAUAGUAAAAAAAGCAGAAACAACUCAAAUGUUUGCUAAUUGAUAAAUAGAUAAAGUUUGGCAUACCCAUACAAAAGCAUAAUAUUCAGCAACAUGAAGGAAUGGAGUACUGAUACAUGUUACCACAAGGAUGAACCCAAAAAUCAUUAUGCUAAGUGAAAGAAGACACAAAAUAACACGUAAUAUAUGAUUUUAUUUAUAUGAAAUACCAAAAAUAGGUAAAUAUAUAGAGAUGGAAAAUAAAUUAUUAGUUGCUUGGGG
rnacentral:lncRNA from 1 species